GUAUUUGGAGCACUUACUAACCAACAAAGUGUAGAGAACUCUGGUAAUGGUUCACCUUUGUCUUGACAGAGGAGAGUAGUCUUUGAAGAUGGGAGUAAGCACCCCAGCCCACAUUCGUCAAAAGUUAUCACAAGAGACUCAAGUAAACCCAGCAUUUUGAAACUGCAGUCAGAAAAGUCCAAAUCUUGCUCACUGGCAGUUCGAAAAGAAUUUUCAGAAUCAACUGCUGACACUUGUAAGACAUCAAAAUCUACAUCCCAACCCCAACAACACUAACCUUGCUGCGCCUGACCAAAAUGAGUCCUCCGACCUACCUUAAAAAAUAAUAAAUGGCUUUUCUAACCUAA